CGGGGGAGGUAAGCGUUGUUCGGAAUUACUGGGCGUAAAGGGCUCGUAGGCGGCCAACUAAGUCAGACGUGAAAUCCCUCAGCUUAACUGGGGAACUGCGUCUGAUACUGGAUGGCUUGGAUUCGGGAGAGGAAUGCGGAAUUCCAGGUGUAGCGGUGAAAUGCGUAGAUAUCUGGAGGAACACCGGUGGCGAAGGCGGCAUUCUGGACCGAUAUUGACGCUGAGGAGCGAAAGCCAGGGGAGCAAACGGGAUUAGAUACCCCGGUAGUCCUGGCCCUAAACGAUGAAUGCUUGGUGUGGCGGGUAUCGAUCCCUGCCGUGCCGAAGCUAACGCAUUAAGCAUUCCGCCUGGGGAGUACGGUCGCAAGGCUG
rnacentral:rRNA from 1 species